UAACCCCAGGUCAGGCGGGGCUACCCGCUGAGGAUAAGCAUAUCAAUAAGCGGAGG
rnacentral:rRNA from 1 species